ACACACAUUCUUACUCAGAAUUAAGUUUUGGCAAAAGUGAAAGCUUCUGUAAAACCGAAAGUGAAAGUGGAGGGUUAUAAAGUGCUUAUUUGGGGAAAGACGACUGUCGCGUCAGUUCCUCGUAGACCAUAAAGAAUUCUCAAGAACUCUGUGGAUGAGAUGACACACAAGUCACCUCAUAGUUGUGGAGAUAAAUGAACAGAAAUAUUUCUUUACGAAAGACUGAUUUCCGAAGCUUAUCAUCGGCAUUUCUGAUGUGUAGCCAGUAUAAAGUGGCGUUUGGAAUAAUGGAUCUCAGACCAGCUACUCAAUAUGUCUGUGCAACAUACUGCAAAACUCACCUGAGAAGAUGCCUUUACGAUGAUAAUGCAGACUGGAACACUAUCUUGGAAGAGGUAGUGUAUCUCUACAAUCUUACAUUCUCCAAACAAAAUGAAGAGCCGUUUUCCUAUCAUUUUCUGCACUAUCCAUUCUCCAGCAAGUUUGGCAUAAUUACCAGGGAUCAUGACAGAAGACAAUUUAUCAAGAGCAUCAA